GUGGCUCCGUGGUUGCUCGUAUCGAGCGU
rnacentral:sRNA from 1 species